rnacentral:rRNA from 1 species
AACGAACGCUGGCGGCGUGCCUAACACAUGCAAGUCGAGCGCGAAAGGGGCAACCUGAGUAGAGCGGCGCACGGGUGCGUAACACGUGGGUAAUCUGCCCGGAAGAUUCGGAUAACCACCCGAAAGGGUGGCUAAUACGGAAUAAGCCUACGGCCUCCUUGGAGGCUGCAGGAAAAGGAUGGCCUCUGUUUACAAGCUAUCGCUUCUGGAUGAGCCCGCGGCCCAUCAGCUAGUUGGCGGGGUAAUGGCCCACCAAGGCGACGACGGGUAGCUGGUCUGAGAGGACGAUCAGCCACACUGGAACUGAGACACGGUCCAGACUCCUACGGGAGGCAG